rnacentral:tRNA from 1 species
GCCUUGGUGGUGUAAUGAUAGCACACUCGGCGCGUAUUCGAGAGGUCCAGGCUUCGAGUCCUGGCGAGGGCA